rnacentral:misc_RNA from 1 species
AACAAGGUCUCCGUUGGUGAACCAGCGGAGGGAUCAUUACCGAGUUUACAACUCCCAAACCCCAAUGUGAACGUUACCAAUCUGUUGCCUCGGCGGGAUUCUCUUGCCCCGGGCGCGUCGCAGCCCCGGAUCCCAUGGCGCCCGCCGGAGGACCAACUCCAAACUCUUUUUCCUCUCCGUCGCGGCUCCCGUCGCGGCUCUGUUUUAUUUUUGCUCUGAGCCUUUCUCGGCGACCCUAGCGGGCGUCUCGAAAAUGAAUCAAAACUUUCAACAACGGAUCUCUUGGUUCUGGCAUCGAUGAAGAACGCAGCGAAAUGCGAUAAGUAAUGUGAAUUGCAGAAUUCAGUGAAUCAUCGAAUCUUUGAACGCACAUUGCGCCCGCCAGUAUUCUGGCGGGCAUGCCUGUCCGAGCGUCAUUUCAACCCUCGAACCCCUCCGGGGGGUCGGCGUUGGGGAUCGGCCCCUCACCGGGCCGCCCCCGAAAUACAGUGGCGGUCUCGCCGCAGCCUCUCAUGCGCAGUAGUUUGCACACUCGCACCGGGAGCGCGGCGCGGCCACAGCCGUAAAACACCCCAAAUUUUCUGAAAUGUUGACCUCGGAUCAGGUAGGAAUACCCGCUGAACUUAAGCAUAUCAAUAA